AACUGUGAGAACGAACCAAGGAAAGGUGUUAAUUUGGCUUAAAAAUAUUUACAAUCGUUGUGAAAUUUUGCAAAACAAUAUUAACAAUGGCUAAGUUCUGGGUCAUUUUGUUAGCUGUUAUAGCGUUGACUAGUGCAGGACCUAUAGAAGAGAAACGUUUAACCGCAGACGCCGAGCCCG